rnacentral:rRNA from 1 species
UACGUAGGGUGCAAGCGUUAAUCGGAAUUACUGGGCGUAAAGCGUGCGCAGGCGGUUUUGUAAGUCAGAUGUGAAAUCCCCGGGCUUAACCUGGGAACUGCGUUUGAAACUACAAGGCUAGAGUGUGGCAGAGGGGGGUGGAAUUCCACGUGUAGCAGUGAAAUGCAUAGAGAUGUGGAGGAACACCGAUGGCGAAGGCAGCCCCCUGGGUUAACACUGACGCUCAGGCACGAAAGCGUGGGGAGCAAACAGG